CCCGUCGUUACUCAAAACCGAGGUCCUUUAAACUGGAUGACUAGUUCCUUGGGAAGGAAGGAGACUCUCACUGGAUUAGUGAAUAACAAUGAUGACUAAGGGCAGAUCUCCAUACGACCUUUCUCUAGAAGGCUCCCUCCUCCAUGUUUAUAAGAUCCAUCUACCAAAGCUAAUGCUUGCCAUCAGAGAGCCUGGUUUAAUUAAACUGUGGUUCCAGACAAAAUGGAGUAGGAAGCAGUAGAACCCUGCUGCAGCUGCAACAACUUUAACAAGGGGACUAAACCUCUGAAAUUACGUUCUCAAAGACAUCAGAAAAUGGUGGAAGCAGACACGACUAAAUGAAAUCAACCAGAGGCAAGAGAGCCCUACCCAAAUGAGUGGGCGGCCACUGGCUGCUUUCUGCCCUGGGGAUGUUUGCCAAUUCCAAGUGCAAGAUGAGGCUCGAGCUUGGCCUGAGUACAAGGAUGUUAGUGUGAGAAAAAACACUGCCAGAGUUUUGGGAGGUUGUGUGGAGCUGGGAUGACAAUUUGAAAACUUCCGGAGCCCUAAAUAGGCAAAGUCCCUUUCCCUCUGUGGUUCAUUUACUGAGUCAAGGGGCACUUGGAAGGUUAAGGAACUCCUCUAAAACAGCAGACUGAAAUACACUGUGGUCCUACAGAAGUGGGGAGACAGAGUCCACCUCCUGGAGGAGCAUCUGCUGCAAGCCUAGGGCCAGUCUCCUCCUUAAGAUAGUUACCAAAUUUAGAAAAACGUGGGAUCUGGAGACUAGAGGGCAAAAUUCAAAACUGUCAAAAGGCAUAUCACCUGCCCUGGGGGCUCUGUGGGUGGAAAUGAAAGAGGCAAGACCUGAGAGUCUAGCAGUCAAAAUCCACAGAAAGAUCUUCUCAACUCUGAAACAUUUGAAACAAGUGAUAGACUCAGUUUGACUAAAUCCCUAUCCUUGAUUAAAUCAUCAAAGAGCAAAUCCUUUCCGGAUCAAAAGGUAAUACGAACUUCAGUCUCUAUACAGUUUCAUUGUGUUCUUUUAUGCACAGUGUCUAGCAUAAACUAGAAAAUUAUAAGAUAUGAGAAGAGGAGGGGGGAGCCUUUUGAAGCAGAGAGAUGACCUACAUGUUGAAAUUAGCAGGCAACCUUUUUAAAUAAUUGUUAUUAAUAAUGUUAAAAAAUAAGGGGAAAGGUGAACAAACUAUUAAAAUAUGGAGACUUUCAAUAGAGAAUUGAAAUUAUAGGAGUUCCCAUUG
rnacentral:lncRNA from 1 species